rnacentral:rRNA from 1 species
GACGAACGCUGGCGGCGUGCUUAACACAUGCAAGUCGAACGGAAAGGCCCUGCUUUUGUGGGGUUCUCGAGUGGCGAACGGGUGAGUAACACGUGAGUAACCUGCCCUUGACUUUGGGAUAACUUCAUGAAACUGGGGCUAUUACCGGAUAGGAUCUCCUGCUGCAUGGUGGGGGUUGGAAAGUUUCGGCGGUUGGGGAUGGACUCGCUGGUUAUCAGCUUGUUGGUGGGGUAGUGGCUUACCAAGGCUUUGACGGGUAGCCGGCAUGAGAGGGUGACCGGCGACAUUGGGACUGAGAUAGGGCCCAGAAUGGUACGGGAGGCAGCAGUGGGGAAUAUUGCACAAUGGGCGGAAGCCUGAUGCAGAAACGCCGCGUGCGGGAUGAAGGCCUUCGGGUUGUAAACAGAUUUAGCAUGUGACGAAGCGUGAGUGACGGUAAUGGGUAAAGAAGCACCGGCUAACUACGUG